GCGCGACAGUCAGGAGAGAGUCCGCGCGUACGCUGCGGGCCGCCGAAGGCGCAGGCUGCUUGCCAAACGCUCAGGCAAAAGGACUGGCAGCCCGCC
rnacentral:ncRNA from 2 species